rnacentral:rRNA from 1 species
UACGGAGGGUGAGCGUUGUCCGGAUUUAUUGGGUUUAAAGGGUGCGCAGGUGGGUAUUUAAGUCUGGUUUGAAAGCAGGUGGCUCAACCAUCUGAUGUGGCUGGAAACUGGAUAUCUUGAAUGGGUUGGCGGUAGCCGGAAUGGGUCAUGUAGCGGUGAAAUGCAUAGAUAUGACCCGGAACACCGAUUGCGAAGGCAGGCUACUACGACUUGAUUGACACUGAGGCACGAGAGCAUGGGUAGCGAACAGG